rnacentral:rRNA from 1 species
UGAUCCUGGCUCAGAUUGAACGCUGGCGGCAUGGCUAAAACAUGCAAGUCGUGGGAGAAUCCACUUCGGUGGAGGACACCGGCGAAAGGGCUAGUAAUGGUAUCGAACGUACCCCGAGGUUGAGGAUAGCUGGGGGAAACUCCAGGUAAUACUCGAUAAGCUCUACGGAGGAAAGCUCCGGCGCCUUGGGAGCGGCGAUACUCCUAUCAGGUAGUUGGUGGGGUAAAGGCCUACCAAGCCAAAGACGGGUAGCGGGUGUGAGAGCAUGACCCGCAGCAUCGGGACUGAGACACUGCCCGGACUCCUACGGGAGGCUGCAGUAACGAAUCUUCCGCAAUGCGCGAAAGCGUGACGGAGCAAUGCCGCGUGUGGGAUGAAGCGGUUUCGCCGCGUAAACCACUGUCAGGUCCUAGGAAGAACUGACCGGGACCAGAGGAAGGGCCGGCUAAUCUCGUGCCAGCAGCCGCGGUAAGACGAGAGGCCCGAGCGUUAAUCAGAAUCACUGGGCUUAAAGCGUGCGCAGGCGGUCCAGCAAGCGUCUUGUGAAAUCCCUCGGCUCAACCGGGGAAGUGCAGGGCGAACUGCUGGACUUGAGGCAGGUAGGGGCUGAUGGAACCAUGGGUGGAGCGGUGAAAUGCGUAGAUAUCCAUGGGAACGCCGAUGGGGAAGCCGAUCAGCUGGGCCUGUCCUGACGCUCAGGCACGAAAGCGUGGGGAGCAAACAGGAUUAGAUACCCUGGUAGUCCACGCCGUAAACGAUGCACACUAGGUCGGGGCAGCUCUGACGCUGUCUCGGCCGAAGGAAAACUAUUAGGUGUGCCGCCUGGGGAGUACGGUCGCAAGGCUAAAACUCAAAGGAAUUGACGGGGACCCGCACAAGCGGUGGAUGAUGUGGAUUAAUUCGAUGCAACGCGAAAAACCUUACCUACGCUUGACAUGCCAGGAACUUUCCAGAGAUGGAUUGGUGCCCGAAAGGGAAUCGGAACACAGGUGCUGCAUGGCUGUCGUCAGCUCGUGUCGUGAGAUGUUGGGUUAAGUCCCGCAACGAGCGCAACCCUUGUCCUUAGUUGCUACGCAAGAGCACUCUAAGGAGACUGCCGGUGACAAACCGGAGGAAGGUGGGGAUGACGUCAAGUCCUCAUGGCCCUUAUGGGUAGGGCUUCACACGUCAUACAAUGGUCGGUACAGAGGGUUGCCAAGCCGCGAGGUGGAGCCAAUCCCAGAAAGCCGAUCGUAGUCCGGAUCGUAGUCUGCAACUCGACUGCGUGAAGUCGGAAUCGCUAGUAAUCGCGGAUCAGAAUGCCGCGGUGAAUACGUUCCCGGGUCUUGUACACACCGCCCGUCACACCAUGGGAGUGGGUUUCACCAGAAGUAGGUAGCUUAACCUUCGGGAGGGCGCUUACCCACGGGUGAGAUUCAUGACUGGGGUGAAGUCGAAACAGGUUAACCAAU